GCGCGUCCUCUCGGCGGCCACUGUUUGCCACGAGGAAAAGCGCGGAGAGAACUUCUGCAGGAGCGGCUGUGCCCGGCGAAAGCCAUUCUCGGGGCGAGCGGAGGGCAGGAGGUGCCCCUGGUGCUCUGGGAAAAAGAAGGUACCAAUAGGAUUAUUGCUGGCCUUGGUUCCUCAGCCCAGGCUUCUCUUUGGACGUAACCCCAAUAAAUGUCAUCCAGAUCAGCAAACACAGAUUGAUUAGUUAUUACAAAGAAGAUGGAACUGUGCAUGGAAUAUAAAAUAAUGCCAUCUAAGGAUGCCCCACUUCUUUGGAACCUCACCUCAUUGGAGACCAGUACAGAAAUACUGUAUUAUCAUUGCUAGGACAAUGUUUAGAAAAUAGUUACUAAAACAAAUAGGUAUUUAAUUUCCAGGCCUCUUCCUUGCAUUGAUAUUCAUUUAUCAAAUUUAUAUGGUCACCCAUCUCACAAGAAGUGAC